ensembl:miRNA
UGUGGGCAGGGCCCUGGGGAGCUGAGGCUCUGGGGGUGGCCGGGGCUGACCCUGGGCCUCUGCUCCCCAGUGUCUGACCGCG